UUGCCCGCGUGCGUGAGGUACUCCCCUGCUGCUCCGACUGUCCAAUCCAUCUCCCGAGGGCUGCUCAUCAGGAGCUCUCUGCCCUUUCCAGCUCGGAUCUCGCUUAUUUCAGUUUGAGACCCGAAUCACUGCCCGGACGGCCGUAUAACUUAUAGUGUGAGCCGUAUCCGAACUCCGAACACGGGCUGGAGUGCCGCUCCACGCAAUGACGUCUGCUAUCGAUGACGUCACAAGAUUAAUCACUUGGAGCGCAUUGGGAUAAUGUGAAUCACUGCAAGUCUACUGCGUCACAUCGCCCGUUUGGUGUUCUAUUCUGGGACCGGCCAGUACGGUGGCAAUGUGUCAGUGGUUUCCCUGAACGUGCAACGACAGCGUCAUAGCGCUUACCGGCGAGCGACAUUCAGUAGCCAGCCGAUGU